rnacentral:rRNA from 1 species
CCUACGGGUGGCAGCAGUGAGGAAUAUUGGUCAAUGGACGAGAGUCUGAACCAGCCAAGUAGCGUGAAGGAUGACUGCCCUAUGGGUUGUAAACUUCUUUUAUAUGGGAAUAAAAUGUUCCACGUGUGGGAUUUUGUAUGUACCAUAUGAAUAAGGAUCGGCUAACUCCGUGCCAGCAGCCGCGGUAAUACGGAGGAUCCGAGCGUUAUCCGGAUUUAUUGGGUUUUAAGGGAGCGUAGGUGGAUUGUUAAGUCAGUUGUGAAAGUUUGCGGCUCAACCGUAAAAUUGCAGUUGAAACUGGCAGUCUUGAGUACAGUAGAGGUGGGCGGAAUUCGUGGUGUAGCGGUGAAAUGCUUAGAUAUCACGAAGAACUCCGAUUGCGAAGGCAGUUCACUGGACUGCAACUGACACUGAGGCUCGAAAGUGUGGGUAUCAAACAGGAUUAGAUACUCCAGUAGUC